AGUAGUGUACGCUUCUCCUAAAGACUAAGCCAUGCAUGCUUUCGAAUAAGAGGAAGCAAUUCUCUCUGAAUCUGCGAACGGCUCCGCACACCAGUUGUAAACUAUAGCAAGCAUGUUCGGUGCCUGGCCUUCACGGGUCAGGCGCUGGGCGAUAAGGAUAACCCUGGUAAUUCUGAGGCUAAUACUAGACCGUAAUCCCUGGCUGACCGGGCAACCGGGAGGUUGGGGGACGUGUGAUUUGGUCGCAAGGAUGACCGGGAAAGAAUGCACGUUCUGACCGCGACAAAAACGGAUCAGCUUUGCUGGCCCGAGCGGCUCUUGCGAUGUGCUUCUGACCUAUCAACUAGAUGGCAGCGUAACGGACAUGCUAUGGUUGCAACGGGUACAGAGGAUUAGGGUUCGAUCCUGGAGAGUGGGCCUGAGAGAUUGCUCACACUUCUAAGGAAGGCAGCAGGCGCGCAACGUUCCCAUUGGACAAUGUCCGAGGGCGUUAGGGGAAAUAUGAAUGCUUGCCAUUGGUAGGCAAUUCAAAUGGGUCU
rnacentral:rRNA from 1 species